UACAGAGACUGCAAGCGUUAUUCGGAUUCACUUGGGUUUAAAGGGAGCGCAGGCGGAUUUGUAAGUCAGUGGUGAAAGGCUUAAGCUUAACUUGGGAACUGCCUUGAUACUAUAAGUCUUGAAUGUUGUUGAGGUUUGCGGAAUGGGUCAUGUAGCGGUGAAAUGCAUAGAUAUGACCCGGAACACCUAUUGCGAAGGCAGCAGGCUAAACAAAUAUUGACGCUGAGGCUCGAAAGCUAGGGGGAGCAAAACAGG
rnacentral:rRNA from 1 species